GUAUGUUUCAUCUCCACAUCGUGCUGCUGACUCAGUGCCUCUCAGCCAACCUGGAUAUGGAGAAAAAGCAGCAACUCUUGAGACAGCUCCAGCUCCCUCUCGCUCCAUUUCAGCAGAAAGUACAGGCUGGGCUGCCCACAUGCAUGCUGCUAAGGGGUUCUGUUUCCAUGCUGGCUACGAAAGGAGUUGCCCACAAGCUGUCCAUGGUUGUAGUUGUGCUGAGAGCAAGCAGCUUCCACAAUCGACCUGAAGAAACCCCUUAAAAGUGCACGCCUGCCCCAUCUUGUGACCGAUAUGCUUCAUUAUCUCCUUUUGUACUUUGCCCAGAGGUUGCUUCCAUCAUUACAGACCUUUCACAUGUGCUGCUGGCCUCAGAUCGCAGGUGGUUUCUUUGCAUGCACUGUAAUCGACGCUCUUGUUGGUGAGCUCCUUGGAAGGCUCAGCAGCAGCACGCAGCUUAUCAAACCCUGUAGGGAUGCAGCCAGCAAGAAAUGGAAAGUGAAAUGUCCCAAGUCUGCUGCAUGCAGCUGUGCCUUCUGCUUGGAUUCCAAACUGUCACUGCUGCCAAUCCGUAUCUUUGUCAGAACUGAAUAAAAACAAAACCAACCCUAACAAAUUAGCAUUCAGUAGUGUGCAAACAGGAAACUUGAAACACGUCGAAUGUUUGGAAAUAACAGGUUCCUCUAAAGGAACCAGUUGAUGUAAGUUUAUGGGAUUGAGGAACCAGCAACAACAGGUUUUACAGGCUAAAAUGGAUCUGCGUCAUCAUUCAAGUUCCUGACAUUCAGAAAUUAAUGGAUUCUGGGGAGAUACUGAAAUCUACACAGCUUCCAAAGCAGCUGACAGUGCUUG
ensembl:lncRNA